rnacentral:rRNA from 1 species
UACGUAGGGUGCGAGCGUUGUCCGGAAUUACUGGGCGUAAAGAGCUCGUAGGUGGUUUGUCGCGUUGUUCGUGAAAACUCACAGCUUAACUGUGGGCGUGCGGGCGAUACGGGCAGACUGGAGUACUGCAGGGGGAGACUGGAAUUCCUGGUGUAGCGGUGAAAUGCGCAGAUAUCAGGAGGAACACCGGUGGCGAAGGCGGGUCUCUGGGCAACAACUGACGCUGAGGAGCGAAAGCGUGGGGAGCGAACAGG